rnacentral:rRNA from 1 species
UACGUAGGCAGCGAGCGUUGUUCGGAGUUACUGGGCGUAAAGGGUGUGUAGGCGGUUCUUUAAGUUUGGUGUGAAAUCUCCCGGCUCAACCGGGAGGGUGCGCCGAAUACUGAGGGACUAGAGUGCGGGAGAGGAAAGUGGAAUUCCUGGUGUAGCGGUGAAAUGCGUAGAUAUCAGGAGGAACACCGGUGGUGUAGACGGCUUUCUGGACCGUAACUGACGCUGAGACACGAAAGCGUGGGUAGCAAAUAGG